GAAAAGUAUUUGCUUUGACUGGUACGCAGACUACUAAUGAGGAUCGACUUAUCAGAGGUACUUGUUUCUUUAAUAGUACUCCUUUAAUUGCUAUUAUAGACACUGGUGCUACGCAUUGUUUCAUUGCUUUAGAAUGUGCAUAUAAGUUGGGUCUGCUUGUAUCUGAUAUGAAAGGAGAAAUGGUUGUUGAAACUCCAGCUAAGGGUUCAGUAACUACUUCUCUGGUGUGUCUAAGGUGUCCGUUGUCUAUGUUUGGUAGAGAUUUUGAAGUCGAUUUAGUGUGUCUACCGUUGUUGGGGAUGGAUGUUAUUUUCGGGAUGAAUUGGUUAGAAUAUAACCGAGUCUGUAUUAAUUGUUUUAACAAGACGGUGCACUUUUCUUCUGUGGAAGAAGAGAGUGGGGCAGAGUUUCUAACUACUAAACAGUUGAAGCAGUUGGAACGAGAUGGAAUUCUUAUGUUUUCUUUGAUGGCAUCAUUGUCGUUAGAGAAUCAAGCUGUGAUCGACAGACUACCAGUGGUGAAUGAAUUUCCUGAAGUUUUUCCAGAUUAGAUUCCUGACGUGCCACCAGAAAGAGAAGUUGAAUUCUCGAUUGAUCUUGUUCCGGGAACGAAACCAGUGUCGAUGGCGCCGUAUCGCAUGUCAGCUUCUGAAUUGGCUGAGUUAAAGAAACAGUUGGAGGACUUGCUUGACAAGAAGUUUGUAAGACCCAGUGUUUCGCCGUGGGGGGCGCCCGUGUUAUUGGUAAAGAAGAAAGAUGGAAGUAUGAGGUUGUGCAUUGACUAUCGUCAGUUGAACAAAGUUACAAUAAAGAAUAGAUAUCCACUUCCGCGGAUUGAUGACUUGAUGGACCAGUUGGUAGGUGCUAAAGUUUUUAGCAAGAUUGACUUGAGGUCGGGUUACCAUCAGAUUAAAGUGAAGGAUGAAGAUAUGCAGAAGACGGCUUUUAGGACACGAUAUGGUCACUACGAAUACAAAGUGAUGCCUUUCGGUGUUACUAACGCGCCGGGUGUGUUCAUGGAGUAUAUGUGUGUGAAUUGUCAUCGCAAAGUGUACAGUUGGGUAUGCUGAAGAUCAAUAGUGAUUUCUUGAAUAGCAUCAGAGAAGCACAACAAGUUGACAUCAAGUUUGUGGAUUUAAUGGUUGAUAGUAAUCAAGCUGAAGAUGGUGAUUUCAAAGUUGAUGAGCAAGGUGUAUUGAGAUUUAGAGGUAGAAUUUGUGUUCCCGACAAUGAAGAAUUAAAGAAGUUAAUUUUAGAAGAAAGUCAUAAGAGCAAUUUGAGUAUUCAUCCGGGAGCUACGAAAAUGUAUCAUGACUUGAAGAAGUUGUUUUGGUGGUCUGGUUUGAAGAAGGAUGUCGCUCGGUUUGUGUAUGCAUGUUUGACUUGCCAGAAGUCUAAAGUUGAACAUCAGAGGCCCGCAGGUUUGUUGACACCGUUGGAUGUACCGGAGUGGAAAUGGGAUAGUAUUUCUAUGGAUUUCGUGACAAGUUUACCCAAUACCCCGAGAGGACACGAUUCUAUAUGGGUUGUUGUUGACAGGUUGACGAAGUCGGCGCACUUCAUUCCGAUUAAUAUAAGUUACCCAGUAGCUCAGUUGGCGGAAAUCUACAUCCAGAAUAUUGUGAAGUUGCAUGGUGUUCCGUCGAGUAUAGUGUCAGAUAGAGACCCAAGGUUUACUUCGAGAUUUUGGAGAAGUUUACAAGAUGCGUUGGGUUCGAAAUUGAGGUUGAGUUCGGCUUAUCAUCCGCAGACUGAUGGUCAGUCGGAAAGGACAAUCCAAUCUUUAGAGGAUUUGCUAAGGGUAUGUGUACUUGAGCAGGGUGGAGCUUGGGAUAGUCAUCUACCAUUGAUAGAAUUCACAUACAACAACAGUUACCAUUCGAGUAUUGGUAUGGCACCAUUCGAAGCUUUAUAUGGUCGGAGGUGUAGAACUCCUCUAUGUUGGUUUGAGUCGGGAGAAAGUGUUGUGUUGGGGCCGGACUUGGUUCAUGAGACUACGGAGAAAGUUAGGGUGAUCAGGGAGAAGAUGAAAGCGUCGCAGAGUCGACAAAAGAGCUAUCAUGACAAGCGUAGGAAAGACCUUGAAUUUCAGGAAGGUGACCAUGUUUUUUUGAGGGUUACUCCUAUGACGGGUGUAGGACGUGCAUUGAAGUCGAGAAAGUUGACUCCAAAGUUCAUCGGUCCUUAUCAGAUUUCAGAAAGAGUUGGAACUGUGGCGUAUAGAAUUGGUUUGCCACCUCAUCUUUCGAAUUUGCAUGACGUGUUUCAUGUGUCACAGUUGCGGAAGUAUGUACCUGAUCCUUCACAUGUUAUUCCGAGAGAUGAUGUGCAAGUUAGAGAUAACCUGACGGUGGAGACCUUACCUUUGAGGAUUGACGAUCGAAAGGUGAAGUCUUUGAGGGGUAAAGAGAUACCUCUUGUAAGAGUUGUUUGGGGUGGAGCAACCGGUGAAAGCUUGACUUGGGAACUGGAAAGUAAGAUGCAAGUAUCGUAUCCGGAGUUGUUUGUUUGAGGUAAGAUUUCGAGGACGAAAUUCUCUAAGUUGGGGAGAGUUGUAACGCCCUAGUCGUUAUUUAUUUAUUUUUAGAGUUAUUUAGAGUCUUUUAUGCAUUUUAUGAAAUUAUGUGUGACUUAUUUGAUGUGUUAUUUUAUUUAUAUGAUUUAAUUUAAUAUAAAUAGAAUAAAAUGAAUAAUAGAGUUAUUUAGGAGGUUAGGGAUUAAUUAGAAAUUAAUAGAAUUUAGGGGAGGUUUAAUGUAAUAAGAGGAGUUACACUUUAGGAAAGAAAAGGAAAGAAAAAGUGAGAAACUGUUUUAACGUGAAAACAAGUGGGAGAAGAAAAAGCUAGGCAAAGGAGAAGACCAAGAGAGAAGAGCUUAGAAAUUGGUUUGCUGCACUUUAUCUUUGCAAUUCUAAGGUAAGGGUGGGAUCAUCUUUCAAUAAUGAUAAUAUAUGAUUUCUGAAAAUUAAGCAAUUUAACUGUUUUUAUGGUAAAAAAAUUGGGAAAUUAGGGUUAAUGGCAAUUUUGAAGAAAAUGUGUAAGAUUUAGGUUUAUAAUGUUGUAUUUGAUGAUUAAUAUGAUUUCCUACUCUGUAUUGGUGAUGUUGAUCAUAAUUGGAUGAAGGUAGAAUAUAAUGGAUGAAGUUUUGAAAGUUCUGAAUGAAUGUUUGAUUUGAAUGAAUUGUUGUUGUUGAUGUUGAAUUGCUGUUCUUUUGAUAGCUGGUUGUAUAUAGGACUUGUAAACAUUUCAGGAAAACGUUUUGGGUGAAUUGGGGAUUAAAAUUGGGUUUUUGGAGUGAGGAAAAGUCUGAAAAUCGUAGCUUUUACCCUGCCCAGACGAUUGGUCGCUUAAGCGAAGCAUCCGUCGCUUAAGCGAACAUUCAUGUGAACUACCCAGAUUGUGAUUUUACCCAUUCGCUUAAGCGAACAGUGAGCGAACUGGUAAGCGAAAAUUAAGUUUGAUUCUGUCCAAAGUUCGCCCAAGCGAACCGUGAGCGACCCGUAAGCGAACUGAACCCAGACCUACUGUAAGUUGGUCGCUUAAGCGAGCUAGCCGUCGCUUAAGCGAACUGAGUGUUAGUUAGCCUUUUUUCUGAAUCUUGCUUCACACACUAAGGGAUCCUUUUGAGUAUUUCUAGAUGUUCCUUACAGCUUGUAUAACCUUUGUAUAGACUUAAAGUCCUACUUAAAAUCAUGAUGAUAAUUAGUUGGUUAAUUUUAUGAAUUUGAAUGUUGGAAUGCUUGAAUCAAUUGGAUGAACAUGUUGCGUUGAAAAGGUGCUGAGUCGUAUGAGUACAUAUGCAUUUGUUGUUGAGUUGUAUGCAGAUAUACACAAGUGGAGUCAGUUGCAUAAGCAUAAAAACGAUGAGAACUUCGGUUCUGGAACGCUUUGUCGUUCAAAACGAUGGAACACGAUGUUGUUCAAAACGAUGUUAACGAUGAGGACUCAUGUCCUGAUAAAGAAUGCUUUAACCAUUCUAUAACGAUGAGAGCUUCGGCUCUGAUAUGGUACCACAUGCAUAAUUGCAUUUGUUGAGGAGUCUUAGAAGAGUUGUCAUGUCUUGCAUGAGUCUUAAAAGUGAAGUCGAGUAGUCGCAUGAGUCAUUGUUACUGUUGACAUUGUUGUUGAAUGAUGAAGUUGAUAAUAAAUGUUGUAUUAUGAUUGUUGAAUGAUUAUGAUGAUAGGGUGUUAGAUUCAUUAUGUUAUUAUAUAUUAUUAUUAUUGUUGGAGAAUCUCACCCCUUCUGCUUGAAAAUGUUGCCCUUCCUAUGGGUAACUUGCAGGUGAUCCUGAGUAGUAGGUGGUGGCUCACAAAGUCUAGGGCUCUGAUACAUGGGAUGGGGUUUUAUUAUUUGAAUUCUUUCCUAUGUAUCGAUUUUGAAUUAUAACUGAUGUAGUUAUUUGGUGGUUGACUUUUAUGUUGAAAUGGCCUUUAUGCCAAGAAUAAUUAUUGUAGACUGAAUGAUGAUGAAAAUAAUCCGCUGCGAGUUUAAUGAUAAUUUUAUGAACGAC
rnacentral:lncRNA from 1 species